AGGGGCGGGAAGGGACCCGGGGGCGGGGAAAGCCGCCCUAGUUUAAGGGGUUCCGGGCCGUCGCUCAGGCCUGGCAGAGCCCAGGCAGCCCGUCAGCACGCGCACAGCGGACUCUGCCGACGAAGCACAAUUGGGAGUGUUUCACAAAGGGCGGGAGAAAUGGGGGACAGCUAGUGCUCCCAGGUUUCCUCGUGGUCCGCGGGGAAAAGCCCGGCGUCCGGGUGCUGCGGGGGGACGAAGGGACGCUGGAAGAGCCAGAGAUUAAUUUCUGCCUCUAUAGAAGUUUUGUGUACAAGUCAUGCUGCCCUUAGCUGCACUAUUAUCUUGCCAUCCAAGACGUCACAGCGUCACGGAUCAUUGAGACCUCCGCUGUAACCAGUGAUGUGGGGAGUUGUUCCUUUCCCACACACCACCUGCUGGCUCUUCAGGUAUACCUGGAGAGAUGAUGUCAUUGUUGAUGGUGCUUUAUGAUCUGGGUAUUGUGUAUGUGUGAAGCUGACUCAAGACUACCAAGCCCUCUUGUUUUGUUUCAUUUGCUGUCCUGGGGAUUGAGCCCAGGGCCUUGCACAUGUUAAACAUUGCUUCUAACACUAAACUACACCCCCAACCCCUUGUCAUCCUCAUUUUAACUUCUUGAUGAUGUAGUCAUCUAUGCCACUCGCAAAUAUCCAUGACAUUCGGUUUUUCCUGAUUGUCUAAAAUUGUAUUGUACUCCUUUUGUCCAUUCUCUUUCAAGAAAAGGUGCAGGGCCGGGAAUUUAGCUCAGUGGUUCUGGCACCUGCCUGAUAAGUGCAAGGUCCCAAGUUCAAUCCCUGGUACCAAAAAAAAAAAUAAAAAUUGAACCUGCUU
rnacentral:lncRNA from 1 species